rnacentral:rRNA from 1 species
UACAGAGGUCCCAAGCGUUGUUCGGAUUCAUUGGGCGUAAAGGGUGCGUAGGCGGCGCUGUAAGUCGGGUGUGAAAUUUCGGAGUUUAACUCCGAAACUGCAUUCGAUACUGCGGUGCUUGAGGACUGGAGAGGAGACUGGAAUUCAUGGUGUAGCAGUGAAAUGCGUAGAGAUCAUGAGGAAGACCAGUGGCGAAGGCGGGUCUCUGGACAGUUCCUGACACUGAGGCACGAAGGCCAGGGGAGCAAACAGG